UUUACAGGGGGCGCCAAGAAGAGAGAGAUHGAGCGUCAKAKAGGUGCUUGCACCUCUUGAGAGCGGCGGACGGGUGAGUAAUGCCUAGGAAUCUGCCUGGUAGUGGGGGAUAACGCUCGGAAACGGACGCUAAUACCGCAUACGUCCUACGGGAGAAAGCAGGGGACCUUCGGGCCUUGCGCUAUCAGAUGAGCCUAGGUCGGAUUAGCUAGUUGGUGAGGUAAUGGCUCACCAAGGCGACGAUCCGUAACUGGUCUGAGAGGAUGAUCAGUCACACUGGAACUGAGACACGGUCCAGACUCCUACGGGAGGCAGCAGUGGGGAAUAUUGGACAAUGGGCGAAAGCCUGAUCCAGCCAUGCCGCGUGUGUGAAGAAGGUCUUCGGAUUGUAAAGCACUUUAAGUUGGGAGGAAGGGCAUUAACCUAAUACGUUAGUGUUUUGACGUUACCGACAGAAUAAGCACCGGCUAACUCUGUGCCAGCAGCCGCGGGUAAUACAGAGGGUGCAAGCCGUUAAUCGGGAAUUACUGGGGCCGUAAAGCGCCGCCGUAGGUGGUUCCGUUAAGUUGGGAUGUGAAAAUCCCCGGGCUUCAACCUGGGGAACUGCUUUCAAAAACUGUCCAACUUAAAAUAUUGGUAAAAGGGUGGGUGGGAAUUUCCUUGUGUANCGGUGNAAAUGCCUUANAUUUAGGAAGGAACCCCCGGUGGGCGAAGGCGACCAC
rnacentral:rRNA from 1 species